rnacentral:rRNA from 1 species
UAGGGAAUCUUCGGCAAUGGACGAAAGUCUGACCGAGCAACGCCGCGUGAGUGAAGAAGGUUUUCGGGUCGUAAAACUCUGUUGGUAGAGAAGAACGUUGGUGAGAGUGGAAAGCUCAUCAAGUGACGGUAACUACCCAGAAAGGGACGGCUAACUACGUGCCA